rnacentral:piRNA from 1 species
UUUGCCAUCCAUAGGCAGCUGUGUUAGCCAGC